GAUGAACGCUGGCGGCGUGCCUAAUACAUGCAAGUCGAGCGAACAGACGAGGAGCUUGCUCCUCUGACGUUAGCGGCGGACGGGUGAGUAACACGUGGAUAACCUACCUAUAAGACUGGGAUAACUUCGGGAAACCGGAUCUAAUACCGGAUAAUAUAUUGAACCGCAUGGUUCAAUAGUGAAAGACGGUUUUGCUGUCACUUAUAGAUGGAUCCGCGCCGCAUUAGCUAGUUGGUAAGGUAACGGCUUACCAAGGCAACGAUGCGUAGCCGACCUGAGAGGGUGAUCGGCCACGCUGGAACUGGGACACGGUCCAGACUCCUACGGGAGGCAGCAGUAGGGAAUCUUCCGCAAUGGGCGAAAGCCUGACGCAGCAACGCCGCGUGAGUGAUGAAGGUCUUCGGAUCGUAAAACUCUGUUAUUAGGGAAGAACAAAUGUGUAAGUAACUAUGCACGUCUUGACGGUACCUAAUCAGAAAGCCACGGCUAACUACGUG
rnacentral:rRNA from 1 species